UACGGAGGGUGCGAGCGUUGCUCGGAAUCAUUGGGCGUAAAGCGUACGCAGGCGGCUCGCUAAGUCGGGUGUGAAAUCCCGGGGCUCAACCCCGGAAUGGCGCCCGAUACUGACGAGCUUGAGUGCGGGAGAGGAAAGCGGAAUUCCUGGUGUAGAGGUGAAAUUCGUAGAUAUCAGGAGGAACACCGGUGGCGAAAGCGGCUUUCUGGCCCGACACUGACGCUCAUGUACGAAAGCGUGGGGAGCAAACAGG
rnacentral:rRNA from 1 species